rnacentral:rRNA from 1 species
GACGUAGGGCGCAAGCGUUGUCCGGAUUUAUUGGGCGUAAAGAGCUCGUAGGCGGCUUGUCACGUCGGGUGUGAAAGCCCGGGGCUUAACCCCGGGUCUGCAUCCGAUACGGGCAGGCUAGAGUGUGGUAGGGGAGAUCGGAAUUCCUGGUGUAGCGGUGAAAUGCGCAGAUAUCAGGAGGAACACCGGUGGCGAAGGCGGCUUGCUGGGCCUUACCUGACGCUGAGGAGCGAAAGCGUGGGGAGCGAACAGG